UAGCGUAAUAAGUUGUCCUUUAAUUAGGGAAAGGUAUGAAGGGUUUGACGAAGGAGGUUCUGUCUCUUUAAUAUAGUUUGAAUUUUAAUUCUAGUUUAAAAUGACUAGAUCUUAGAAAAAGACGAGAAGACCCCGUCGAGCUUAAUUAUAUAUUUAAAAUUUUAAUAUAUAGAAUUUUUAUUGGGGCAAUAAGAAGAAAAUUUUAUCUCUUCUUUAGAAUAUAAAGAUCCAAUAUGAUUGAAUUAAGAAAAAGCUACCGCGGGGAUAACAGCGUAAUUUUUCUUGAGAGUUCUUAUUGAGAGAAGAGUUUGCGACCUCGAUGUUGAAUUAAAGUAUCUUUUUGGAGUAAAAGCUAAAAUUGGUAAGACUGUUCGUCUUUUAAAACUUUACGUGAUCUGAGUUCAGACCGGAG
rnacentral:rRNA from 1 species